AGGUGACUAUAGCGACGGGGUCCACCUCUUCCCAUUCCGAACAGAGAAGUUAAGCCUGUCUGCGCCGAUGGUACUGCUGUGCAAGGUGGGAGAGUAGGUCGUUGCCUGAUU
rnacentral:rRNA from 3 species